ACAGGUGUCACGUGACGCACUGGUCGCUGCAGGAGUGUCGGGUCUCAACCGUGCAAGUUGCGGCGGCGUCAAGCGCUUUUAUUUAUGAUUAUCUGUAAUUUAAACACCUGCUGGACUUCUCUUUUGGUCCUGAGCCUUGUAAUAUUGUUUGCAAUGUCUUCGGACGCCGGUGAAAAAUAUGUCUCUGUAGAUUUUGAGGUAUUCGGGAAUGUUCAGGGUGUUUGCUUCAGAAUGUACACAGAGGAAGAAGGGAAGAAACUGGGCGUGACAGGCUGGGUAAAGAACACUAGACAGGGCACUGUUGUCGGACAGGUGCAGGGACCUCCUGAAAAAGUGAAAGAAAUGAAGUACUGGCUCAGUAAGGUGGGCAGUCCGAGCUCUCGAAUCCACCGCGCUGAGUUCACCAACGAAAGAGACAUCUCUAAACUGGAGAUUCGUGGAUUUGGCACUCGCUACUGAAUCACACGGCACCGGCAGACAACAAACUCUGAUAGUUGGUAGAUGAAGAAGAACAAAACCGUAACUCCAUCAUUGAGAUCUUCACUUUAUGCAUAAUCGACCAAUCACGGCAUCCGGCGGUUCUGUUUCCAUGGAAAACCUGGCCGCCCUCACAGAGCUCUCUUAAGGUGGCGUCCGUGUCAGAAUUCAGCGUGUGACGCUUUUGUGCAGCGUCAGCUUCUGUCCGUCACAAAUGCACUUGGAGUUAUCGUUAACAUCAUAAUGUCUUUAGAAUCGAGCUCAAAGCCUCUCCCGGAUUGUACGUUGCCCCAGAGACACAAAUACAGAGUCCCCAGGGUGUCCUUUUUCUCCCAGCAUGCUUCACUUCAGCAAAUCUGCAUGUGGGCCGGUUAGGGAGGCUGGAAUCCUCUUAGCUGACAGUUGCAAGAUUAGAUCAGAGGCUUAACGAGGGUUAGUGAGUCUUUGAAUAGACGGUCCGCUCUCAGACUGAUCCGGGAACAGUUUGCUGCCAUCACUUCUGAGUCUGUAUGAAAUCGCAAUAUCCGUCAGACUCCAUAGAUCCCAGAUCCGGGCCUCUGAUGGAAUGUGCCGGGCUCUUUGUUUGGGAUCGCUCUGUGUUUCCCAGAAGCAAGUGAGCUCGAGAAACACUUUCCCAUGAUUCACUGAGACCAACAAGUAUAUGGAAACUUAAGUGAUGCUAAAAAUGCCUGAAUGUCACUGAAACAUUAGUGAAACAUUGUAUCAAAAGUGGAAUUUGAUUGUGGAGUUCCGUUAAAUUGAUCAAAAGUGUCAUUUAGAAUGUUACAAAAUGUUUCUAUUUCAAAUAAAUGCUGUUCUUUUGAACAUUCUAUUCAACAAAGAAUCCU